UACGGAGGGGGCUAGCGUUGCUCGGAAUUACUGGGCGUAAAGCGCACGUAGGCGGCUUUGUAAGUUAGAGGUGAAAGCCCAGGGCUCAACUCCGGAACUGCCCUUGAAACUGCAGUGCUAGAAUCCUGGAGAGGCGAGUGGAAUUCCGAGUGUAGAGGUGAAAUUCGUAGAUAUUCGGAAGAACACCAGUGGCGAAGGCGACUUACUGGACACAUAUUGACGCUGAGGUGCGAAAGCGUGGGGAGCAAACAGG
rnacentral:rRNA from 1 species